rnacentral:rRNA from 1 species
UCUUUAUUUUAAAAAUUUUAUUAUUUAAGUAGUAUAAACGUUAAUAAAGUAUUUAAUUUUCUAGUAAUGUUUGAAAUUUAAAAGGCUUGGCGGUAUUAUAUAUCCUUCCAGGGGAGCUUGCUGAUUAAUUUGAUAAUCCUCAAUUUAUACUUACUUUUUUUUGAAUGAAAACAGUUUGUGUAUUGCUGUCGUCAGUUUAUUUUGUAAAAAUCUUAGAAAAAACUUAAUAACGUUUAGUUAUGAUGUCAAGUCAAAAUGCAGCUAAUAAAAAAGGUUGAAGUGAGCUACAAUUUAUAAUUUUUAAUCGGAUUAAAUUAUGUAAUUGAUUUAUGAAGUUGGACUUGGUAGUAAUAGUGAAAAUAGGUGAGUUUUUAUGAAUUAGGUUUUAUAAUGCGU